GGGGGCGCAAUGGUUUCGACGGGGGCAAGUUGCUCCUGGGAAGCGAGUCGAAGGAAUCCUGCACCUGCGUUAAAAAACUGGGAACUUAAAUAUAAUCGCAAACGAUAAUUUUGCAUUAGCUGCCUAAUAGUUGCAGCUCGUCAGCCUAAGAGUCCCACGACUUAGGGCCUGGCGUCGACAGUGGGGAACCGCGCCUUACAAAGCUUUGAGUAAGGAACGGAAUUAAUGAAGCUACUAAAUCUAAGAGCCUGUUUAUCGGCGCUUAGAGGAGGGAAUGUAAAAGGAUAAACUGCACUCGGAGAUGCUCAGGGGUUGCUGCUUUCGGACAGGGGUUCGAUUCCCCUCGCCUCCACCA
rnacentral:tmRNA from 3 species